rnacentral:rRNA from 1 species
AAAUUCGCCCUUAGAGUUUGAUUCUGGCUCAGGAUGAACGMUGGCGGCAUGCCUAAUACAUGCAAGUCGAACGAGAGACCUUCGGGUCUCUAGUGGCGAACGGGUGAGUAACACGUAGGGAACCUGCCCGCGCACCGGGAAUACGCUCUGGAAACGGAGAACAAAUCCCGAUGUACAGGAAGGAGGCAUCUUCUUUCUGUGAAACAUCCUCCAGGGGAUGGGGCGCGGAUGGACCUGCGGUGCAUUAGUUUGUUGGCGGGGUAAAGGCCCACCAAGACGAUGAUGCAUAGCCGGCCUGAGAGGGCGGACGGCCACAUUGGGACUGAGACACGGCCCAGACUCCUGCGGGAGGCAGCAGUAGGGAAUUUUCGUCAAUGGGCGCAAGCCUGAACGAGCGAUGCCGCGUGAGUGAAGAAGGCCUUCGGGUCGUAAAGCUCUGUUGCGGGGGAAAAAAGGCAGCAUCAGGAAAUGGGUGCUGACUGAUGGUGCCCCGCCAGAAAGUCACGGCUAACUACGUGCCAGCAGCCGCGGUAAUACGUAGGUGGCGAGCGUUAUCCGGAAUGAUUGGGCGUAAAGGGUGCGCAGGCGGUCCUGCAAGUCUGGAGUGAAACGCAUGAGCUCAACUCAUGCAUGGCUUUGGAAACUGGAGGACUGGAGAGCAGGAGAGGGCGGUGGAACUCCAUGUGUAGCGGUAAAAUGCGUAGAUAUAUGGAAGAACACCAGUGGCGAAGGCGGCCGCCUGGCCUGUUGCUGACGCUGAGGCACGAAAGCGUGGGGAGCAAAUAGGAUUAGAUACCCUAGUAGUCCACGCCGUAAACGAUGAGGACCAAGUGUUGGGGGUGAAACCUCAGUGCUGAAGUUAACGCAGUGAGUCCUCCGCCUGGGGAGUAUGCACGCAAGUGUGAAACUCAAAGGAAUUGACGGGGGCCCGCACAAGCGGUGGAGUAUGUGGUUUAAUUCGAAGCAACGCGAAGAACCUUACCAGGCCUUGACAUGGGAUGCGAAGAUGCAGAGAUGCAUUGGAGGUCAACAUCCACACAGGUGGUGCAUGGUUGUCNUCAGCUCGUGUCGUGAGAUGUUGGGUCAAGUCCCACAACGAGCGCAACCCUUGUGGCAUGUUGCUAACAGGAAAAGCUGAGGACUCAUGCCAGACUGCCGGUGACAAACCGGAGGAAGGCGGGGAUGACGUCAAAUCAUCAUGCCCCUUAUGGCCUGGGCUACACACGUACUACAAUGGCGGCUACAAAGAGCAGCGAGACAGGGAUGUCGAGCGAAUCUCAUAAAAGCCGUCCCAGUUCGGAUUGGAGGCUGCAACCCGCCUCCAUGAAGUUGGAAUCGCUAGUAAUCGCGGAUCAGCAUGCCGCGGUGAAUACGUUCCCGGGCCUUGUACACACCGCCCGUCAAACCAUGGGAGUCGGUAAUGCCCGAAGCCGGUGGCAUGACCUCAUAAGAGGAGUGAUCNNUCGAAGGCAGGANAAAUGACUGGGGUUAAGUCGUAACAAUUUUUUCGGNAANGGNUUUNAUUCCANCACACUGGCGGCC